AGGGCGUAUGGGGAAUGCCUAGGCACACUCCGGCGAAGAAGGACGCAGCAAACAGCGAAAUGCGACGGGAAGCGGUAAGCACGCAAAGAUCCGUCGAUAUCCGAAUGGGGGAACCCGCAUGGAGUCAAAUCCAUGGAUCACAUGUUGAAUACAUAGACAUGAUGAGGCGAGACGCAGGGAACUGAAACAUCUAAGUACCUGCAGGAAGAGAAAAUAAGAAUGAUUUUCUGAGUAGCGGCGAGCGAAAGGGAAAGAGCCCAAACCGAUCUGAGGAUCGGGGUAGUAGGAUCAUCAAUAAAUCUGACAGAGGAUCAUAGAGGAAUCACAUGGGAAGGUGAGCGAGAGAGGGUGAGAGCCCCGUACUCGAAAUGAGAGACUGGAGAGAGAUGACACCUGAGUAGGGCGGGACACGAGAAAUCCUGUCUGAAUCAGCCGGGACCAUCCGGCAAGGCUAAAUACGAGAGAGUGACCGAUAGUGAACCAGUACCGUGAGGGAAAGGUGAAAAGAACCCCGGGAGGGGAGUGAAAGAGAACCUGAAACCAUAUGCCUACAAGAAGUCAGAGCCCGUUAAAGGGUGAUGGCGUGCCUUUUGUAGAAUGAACCGGCGAGUUACUGUAUGGAGCGAGGUUAAGCAGGAUAUGCGGAGCCGAAGCGAAAGCGAGUCUUAAGAGGGCGAAAGUUGCAUGCAGUAGACCCGAAACCGGGUGAUCUAGCCAUGACCAGGUUGAAGUUGGGGUAAAACCCGAUGGAGGACCGAACCGACCCCCGUUGAAACGUUGGCGGAUGAGUUGUGGCUAGGGGUGAAAUUCCAAUCGAACCCGGAGAUAGCUGGUUCUCCCCGAAAUAGCUUUAGGGCUAGCGUCGAGGUAGAGAGUUGCGUGAAGGUAGAGCACUGAAUAUGUGAUGGCCCCAUCUCGGGGUACUGAGCAUAAUCAAACUGCGAAUGUCACGGAAACAUACUCGGCAGUCAGACAGCGGGUGAUAAGGUCCGUUGUCAAGAGGGAAACAGCCCAGACCAUCAGCUAAGGUCCCAAAAUGUAUGCUAAGUGGAAAAGGAUGUGGAGAUGUACAGACAACUAGGAGGUUGGCUCAGAAGCAGCCAUCCUUUAAAGAGUGCGUAACAGCUCACUAGUCGAAUGACUCUGCGCCGAUAAUUUACCGGGGCUAAGCAUACUACCGAAGCUAUGGAUCCCAAGGGAUGGUAGGGGAGCGUUCCAUGAACGGAGAAGUACGACCGAAAGGACGUGUGGAGAUCAUGGAAGAGAGAAUGCCGGUGUGAGUAGCGGAACGUGGGUGAGAAUCCCACGCACCGAAAACCCAAGGUUUCCAGAGGAAGGUUCGUCCGCUCUGGGUAAGUCGGGACCUAAGGCGAGGCCGAGAGGCGUAGUCGAUGGACAACAGGUAGAGAUUCCUGUACUCAUAUAUAUGUGAAGGAAUGACGGAGAGAGGAAGCUGCAGCCAGCGGCUGGAAGAGCUGGUGCAAGCGAGAUAUCGGGAUGGCAGGCAAAUCCACCAUCCGAAACGAGAAGGCGUGAAGCGUACGGAAAGCUAAGGCGAGUACGGAAGGCAGUGGAGGAGCUUCCAAGAAAAGUUUCUAACGAAAGUAUAUGUGACCCGUACCGAAAAUGGACACACAUGGGUGAGGAGAGAAUCCUAAGGUGAGCGAGAGAACUAUAGCUAAGGAACUCUGCAAAAUGACUCCGUAACUUAGGGAGAAGGAGUGCUCAUAGAGAUAUGAGCCGCAGUGAAACGGCCCAAGCGACUGUUUACCAAAAACACAGCUCUCUGCUAAGCCGCAAGGCGAAGUAUAGGGGGUGACGCCUGCCCGGUGCUGGAAGGUUAAGGGGAGGGGUUAACGCAAGUGAAGCCCUGAACUGAAGCCCCAGUAAACGGCGGCCGUAACUAUAACGGUCCUAAGGUAGCGAAAUUCCUUGUCAGGUAAGUUCUGACCCGCACGAAAGGCGUAACGAUUUGGGCGCUGUCUCAGCUGUAGACUCGGUGAAGUCUUAGUACCUGUGAAGAUGCAGGUUACCCGCGACUAGACGGAAAGACCCCAUGGAGCUUCACUGCAGGUUGAUAUUGGGAUUUGAUGCAGCAUGUACAGGAUAGGUAGGAGGCAAGGAGAUGGAUACGCCAGUAUUCAAGGAGCCGCUGUUGGGAUACUACCCCUGUUGUAUUGGAUUUCUAACCGGACGACGUAAAGCCGUUGACGGGACAGUGUCAGUCGGGCAGUUUGACUGGGGCGGUCGCCUCCCAAAGAGUAACGGAGGCGCCCAAAGAUACCCUCAGCUUGGAUGGAAACCAAGCGCAGAGUGCAAAGGCAAAAGGGUGUUUGACUGCGAGACCCACAAGUCGAGCAGGGACGAAAGUCGGGCUUAGUGAUCCGGCGGUGCUGAAUGGAAAGGCCGUCGCUCAACGGAUAAAAGCUACCCUGGGGAUAACAGGCUGAUCUCCCCCAA
rnacentral:rRNA from 1 species